CCAGAGAAAAUAAAAAAAUAAAAAACAAUCAAAAAAAUACAACAUGUUCUAAAAUCCAGCUUCCUCAGUCAUCAUAUGUUGUUGUUAAUGGAAAUCAUGACCUGUAGGCAGACCAGCAGCAUCACAUAUGCUUGCAUCUACAUCCGGAGUGACAAUUUCAUUGAGCAACACUCCCGCCUCCAACUCUUCAUACAACUGUCUCAAACAGGUCAUGCCAAACAGAACGUGGACAUCUUCAUCAUGAGCAAACGACGUCGCCUCAUAUUUUUAUUCUUAUUGCUGUGGGUAUCAGGUCUAACUGAUGGGGGGGAAGUCAAGCAGACCUCCAUACUCUGGAAAAACCAGGGUGAUAAUGUAUCUAUAGAAUGCAGUCAUACCUAUGGCAGUAGCUAUUUCCAAAUGUACUGGUACAGACAGCUGCCUGGAGAACUAAUGAAACAAAUGGUUUUUACUACUGCAAACUCCCAACCUGACUUUGAACCAGACUUCAGGGAUGAAAAAUUCUCAGCCACCAAGACUGACGCUCACAGUGGGACACUGAUAGUGAAGAAUUUGGUGCCAGGAGAUCAAGGCUUGUAUUUCUGUGCUGUUAGUAUGCACAGUGAUACAGCCACACUCAACACUCGUACAAAAACCUCAGAUCAUGAACUGUAGGGGGAUGUCAAGGACCACAAAUACUCACAACUGAACGUGGAUUCAUCGUACCAAUUCA